ensembl:lncRNA
CACCUAAGCCAUGAUAAAUACAAAAAUGCAACACAUUUCAUUGAAUACAUAGGUGUUCCCAUUGACACACAGUGAUGGGGAAUGUACUACUGUGUAUGUUUAUCUUAUUGAUUAUUGAAUAAAAUACUGUUUGGCCAAUGAGACAGCAAGUUAGACAGAACUAGGAGUCAAAAAGGAUUCUUGGAAAUGUAGUAGAGAAGUGCUGAUCCAGGCAGGAAGUGACAUAGCAAGGAGACUCAUAUUUAAGCGAAAGAGAAACAAGAAAGGCCCUCUCUUUUCCCCUCGGCUCCUGCUCCAGCGGCACGAUGUGAUCCACCAGCUAGGAGGGACGCCAAUAAGGCGUCCGAUAAGAUAAGUCUUAUAAAAUAUAUAGAUGUAUGAUAAUUGAGACUGAGCUAACAGAUGAGAAUCCUAGUCAUUGGCCAAGCAGCAUUGUAACUAAUACAAGUCUCUCUGUGUAUUCAUUUGGGCCUAACUCGGGCAGGCGGCUGUCGUAAAGCUCACACAUGGCAGUGGGGCUCAGGCGGCUUUUGGCAGAAAGAUUUAUAGUAACAACACAGUGUUCCUUGAGCAGCAAGUUGCUCCUUAAUCUGCUUGAUCCUUCAUGUAAGACAUGCUGGGCAGUUUCAGUGCGUUCCACUUAGACACAGACUAAGAAAUGGAAAUUAUUGGUCUGUGAUAGACUCUACGAGUAAGGAAAUCCCAGUCUGUCACACACUGGUUCUCACUCCUUUUCAAUGUAACUAACUAUGGACACCUCCCUGCUACACCACCACCCCUAGGACUGGGUUAAGGACAAGUUUUCCCUCCCUCCACUGUUUGUUCACUCUCUGUCUUGCAAGUGCUUUUUGGUCACAAUGAGUCCCAGCAAGGCUUCAGAGCCUCUGGCAGGUCCUCUUCAGUGCUGCCAAACUGUCCACUGGGAUGGGUGUGUGAGGGGGAGCUGAUGGUCUCAGGGCCCUCAAUUAGACCGUGAAACUUCAUUUCACAUGAAAAGGAAAAAGAAAUCUAGUUGAUUCCUCAAGGUAAGAAGCUAACCAACAGUUAGACCUAAUCCUGUUUCCUUCCCCUAACUUACUUUACCCUGUCUCUGCAGGGACAGAGCCAAUCUUCCUGAGAAAGUAUCCUCCAUCUGCUUACAGGCUCUGGAGCCAUCUAGACUCCAGUUUAUAAGAGAGCUCUGCAUAGAGGGCCCUGCUUUUCUGGGCCAUCAAUAGGCCUUCAGCUCUGGGAGUCCUGCUCACUGUCUCCCUUCAAGUCUUCUCUCCACUGUACAACAUCUGUUUUCCAGGCAGCGUGCACUGUGUCCAGAGACAGCCAAAGGUCAUCAGACUCCUAAGAUCAGGUCCGAGGAAAACUGAAGAGUCUCUGGCAUAUCCUCCAGUGCUGCCACACUGUCCACAGGGGUUACGUGUGUGUUGGGAGGCUGAUGGUCUCAGGACCCUGAACCACAGAGUGAAACUUCUUUUCACAUGAAAAGUAAAAAGCAAUCUAGCUGUCUCCUCAAGGUACAGACUCUGGUGAGGUAUCCAACAUCCUUGUUGGCAUAUCAACAGUGGCAUCAAUACUACCAAUCCAGAACAUAUGCCAGACAACUGCUUAAACCAGAACAUUCCUGAAUAUAAUGCCAACACCCAGAGUUCUCCAAGCAGGAGUAUGCAGCGUGCCAAAUCAAGGUUCUUACUCCCAUAUUAACCAGACCUUGAAGGAGGAGGUGUCACCAACUUGUCAGUGACUAUUGAUCUGACAGCUACACAUGAGGACAAAGAGAGGCUUGACCGCUGUACAGCAUUAGGUCUGAUGUGUGAGGGCUGUCAGGUAGCCAUUCUUCAAUAUCUGGAAUUUUUCCAGCACCAGAAAGAGGAGCUGUCUGUUGUGCCAGACAGUGGGAAACAACAUGCAAGAACCACACCUACAUUAAGAAAUUCCUUCAGACAUUAUAUCACUGUAUUUCUUCAGCAUCUUUCAUUCCAGUGAUGCCCAUAAGCCUACGUUGGCCUUUAAGAUAGAGAUGGUUAUGGAAUAAGGGAAUUGGCUGAUUGGAGCAGAUCUUCAAUCCUCUACCGAAUUUAUUGGCAUGAUGGUCUUCAUCAGUAUAGUCUUAUUCCUACUGAGCUCAACCAGAGGUUUAAAUAUAUGAAUUCUGGUGAAUUGUAAUACUGAAUGGUAGCAGUGAAUGUCAUCUGUUGGAAUAGGAAGUCUCCAGUCCAUGGCUUUACCCAUUUCUAAUUCUGAGCUUCCGUGCUCAUUACUUAUGCUGUCUUUGCAUUUCAGUUGUGUAACCCAAUGCAAAACGGAAUGCUCUGCUAAUGCAGGACACCCACAAGCAGCUUUUAGAGAGGGGCUUCUGGAUGAAGCAGCAUGCUUCAGUGCUGGAAGAGGGUAUCUUGAACCAUAAAACAACAGUAGUGGCCGUCUUUUUGUCUCCUAUGAUGUAUGCUGGGCCAACUGAGGAAGGCUGCUUGUAGGAUGUCAGUGCAGUGCUAAAGUCACUGUUGUGAACACCAUAACCUCACCACCCUUCCUGUUGGCUUUUCCCUGAUGGCUAGCUUGCUGUACAGACUGCUGCCAUGCCGGCUGGCUAGGUCACUCUAGUCCCAGAGCAGAGGACAGACGCUGUGUGACUUUGGCUUUUUCUGAUUUUUUCAAGAGAUAAAGGGGCGUGCGUGUGCCAGACAGCUGUUUUCACUGUAACAAAUACUUGAGGUUUCUGCCUCGAGUUCUUUCCUGACAUCCCUGGAUGUGGGACUUUGUGUUAUAGAAGCUGCACAGCCUUACCUUCCCAAGAUGCAUGGUGUUUACCACAGCAAUAGAAACCAUAAUUAGGGCAAGCUGGAAUAGGUAUUGCAUUCUGGGAUUAAAGGGGACACCUACCAAGCCCAGUUCAGUAUCAUUCAUAAUGACUACCUGGUCCUUGAAUGAAAACACUCAUGAUCAGAUCCAGAUGGAGAGGUCUCUGCUACCUUUCCAGCACCACAUAUGCCUGCAUUCUGCCAUGCUUCCCACCAUGAUGAUAAUGGAAUAAACCUCUGAAGAAGAGGCCACAAGAUGACAACGAAGAAAACAAACACCCUGCUCCUCAUUCAAAGAGGAAUAAGAAGGACCAGGCCUUCCAGGAUACUUGCACAGUUGAGAUAUCAGCUGUUCUGAAGUAAGACUUGAGCAGACACUCCCACCAAGCAGUAAGAAAGCUGUGUUACUCAGAUUUCCACUAAUC